GUGGGGAAUAUUGCGCAAUGGGGGAAACCCUGACGCAGCGACGCCGCGUGAGCGAAGAAGGCCUUAGGGUUGUAAAGCUCUGUUUUAAGGGACGAAUGUCGUGGGGAGUAAUAUGCUCUGCGAAUGACGGUACCUUAAGAGGAAGCCCCGGCUAACUACGUGCCAGCAGCCGCGGUAAGACGUAGGGGGCGAACGUUGUCCGGAAUUACUGGGCGUAAAGAGCACGUAGGCUGGAACUUAAGUCAGGUGUGAAAGACCGGGGCUCAACUCCGGGGUUGCACUUGAAACUGGGUUUCUUGAGGGCAGGAGAGGAAAGCAGAAUUCCUGGUGUAGCGGUGAAAUGCGUAGAAAUCAGGAGGAAUACCAGUGGCGAAGGCGGCUUUCUGGACUGACCCUGACGCUGAGGUGCGAAAGCGUGGGUAGCAAACAGGAUUAGAAACCCCUGUAGUCC
rnacentral:rRNA from 1 species